rnacentral:rRNA from 1 species
GGACCCGCACAAGCGGUGGAGCAUGUGGUUUAAUUCGAAGCAACGCGAAGAACCUUACCAACCCUUGACAUACUCGUCGCACUUACCAGAGAUGGUUCGUUUCAGUUCGGCUGGACGAUGUACAGGUGCUGCACGGCUGUCGUCAGCUCGUGUCGUGAGAUGUUCGGUUAAGUCCGGCAACGAGCGCAACCCCUAUUUCUAGUUGCCAGCAUUCAGUUGGGCACUCUAGCAAAACUGCCCGUGACAAGCGGGAGGAAGGUGGGGACGACGUCAAGUCAUCAUGGCCCUUACGGGUUGGGCUACACACGUGCUACAAUGGCGGUGACAAUAGGCUGCGAUGGGGUGACCCUGAGCAAAUCCCUAAAAACCGUCUCAGUUCGGAUUGGACUCUGCAACUCGAGUCCAUGAAGCUGGAAUCGCUAGUAAUCG